CAACUGGCUGUGAUGAUGUCUCACAGGAAGUGGCAGGAUACCUGGCUCUCACCCAGGAGGCCUGGGUUCGAUUCCCUGGGGAUUGG